AAUUGAUGGAUACAACUUUUGGGGACGAAAGGUAGACUGUGAGAGAUGAGUGUGUGUGUGUGUGAUGGGGAUGACAGUGGAAUGGAUGUGUGCAAAACCGUUCAGAGAGACGGGUUUGGGGGUUUGAGUGUGUGUGGGUGUGCAAGAGGGUAGAUGUGGAAUAAAAGGUGUGUGCAGUUAGCAAAAUAAUUUAUGAUUAAUUUUUUAAGUGUGUGUAUUGAAAAAGAUGUGCAAAGAGUGGAAUGGGUGUGUGCAAAUAGAAGCUUGCAGAAUAGAUAGAUACCAAAUUUAGCUCAUCUUCUCACAUCAAACCCUAACCACUGUCCAUUGCCAGCCGCCACCCCUCCUCUUCGGUCACCACACCUCGCCCCACCACUACCGUAGCCCUACCAUCGCCGUCCCACACCAUCGCUACAACGUACAACCGCCCAACCCCAUUUAUCGCGACCCCGUUCGCAGUUACAGAUCUCUUUCUCUCUGUGAAUUGCGAGUAGUGGGUCACCGAUCGGAGGUGAGUUGCGAGGGUGAUAGUCUCUACAUUAUGAGAGGCACGAUGGUGUUGGUUGCUGUAAUGGUGGUGGUUGCGAAGUCGUAGAGGCAGCGAUGGGGCUGGAAGGCGGCGGAGCGUCGGAGCUAAGGAGGAAUGGGGCGUUUACCGGUGACUGGUGUUGAUUGUGGUGGCGGUGGGUUUGUAUUGAGAAUUAGAUUUAGGGCUCUGUCCUAAAAGGUAAUUUACUUGAGGGAGAUAAUGGUAAUAAAAAAUGAGGGGCUUAUCCAUAAAUAUAUUAGAGCAUAAGGACCUCCUCGUAAAUUCAGAGUAUUACACAUAUAAGUUUAUAUCACUUUUUUCUUCCCCAUUCGAUGUCGAAGCUCUGCCAAUGAAUGAAAUCCAUUUUCUUUUUUAAAAACUUCGCAACCUCAAACUCGAAUCCCACAGGAGCUCACAACAUGGCUAUGUAAAUGUCUUCCCACAGAGUAUGCUAUAUAUAAAUAUAGUACUUAUAUAAACACACUCAUGUACACAUACACACACUCAGACUAAGCGCUUUCACUAGUUCACAUUGUUCACUGGAAACUUCAAUCAAGUGCUUUUUCAUAGUGACUUUUGUUUAUGUAUGCAAAUUGGUAUUGACUGCAUGUGUAUAACUUAGGUUAUGUGAUAAUUCAGGUAUGUAAUUGUGGUUUAGGCGUAUGUAUAUAUGGGUAUAGUAUGUUUAUGUGUUGGCUUGAAUAAGUUACAAAUAUAAAAUCACCUGCAUGCCGGUUGCUAGACAAAAUGUUAGUAAGGGUUUGCUUGUGUGCACACUCAGGUGAUAGGGUUGCAUUUUUUUCUCCCUUCUAUGGGAUUAGUGGGUUAAAGUAGAAAUAUGAUUAAUUAAAUUUGGAUGGAUUGCAAGAAGGUACCAGGAAAGGAACUUGGACUUAUUGUAGUUGGAGCUUCAACUUUAUUAUAACAUUCUAAGCUUCCAUUGUGUUUCUAAUGCCUUUUGGAUGAUCAAACUGAGGUGUGGAGCAUAUGGAUUUGUCUAAUUAUUUUUGAAGAAUCAAGAAGGUUUUAAUUUGUUUCUUUGAAAGCAUUUGAAAAGAUAUAUAAAUUGAAACUGUUAAUUUUGCCUCACACCCUGCCAAUUUUUAGAUAAUAUCAAAUUACCCUCAUAUUCUCUAGUAAACCCUAACCACUGCCCAUUGCCGGUUGCCACGCCUCCCCACCGGUCUCCACCCUUCGCCCCUACUGGCCCACCACCAUUGUAGCCCCUUCCACCGCUGCUCCAUUAUCAUUGCAGCCCCUGUCGCCGUGACGUACAACUGCCACAACCCUCACCCAUCUCAACCUCGUCGCAAUCACAGAUCUCUCUCUUUUUCUCUUUGUGUGGAUUGCGAGUAGUGGGUCACCGAUCGGAGGUAAGUUGCGAAGAUGGUGGUCUCCGGGUGAUAAGAGGUACGAUGGUGGUGGUCAUGGGGUGGUGGGUCGUUGGGGAUGAUGGCUGUAAUGGUGGUGGUUGCGAAGUGGUGGAGACAACAACGGGGCUGAAGAGGAGUGAGGUAGUUCACCUGCUGUUAGUGUUAAAGGCAUUAGUUGGUGUGUAUUUAGGGAUUAGAUUUAGGGUUUUGAUCUAAUAGGUAAUUUACUUGAGGGACAUAAUAGUAGUAAAAAAAAUAAGGGUAUAGGGUUUAGCCAUAAAUAUAUUAGAGCAUAGGGACCUCGUUGUAAAUAAAAAGUAUUACACAUAUAGUAUGUAGAAAUAGAGCCUGAGGUUCUUAGUUCAUAUAUAUCCAUAAAUCCUCAUAUUCUUCUUCCCCAUUUGAUGUUAAAGCUCUGCCAAUGAAUGGAAGCCACUUUAUUUCUUAAAAACUUGGUAGCCUCAAACUUGGAUCCCAGCAGGACUCAAAUGGCUAUGCAAACGUCUGCCUAUAGAAUAUGCUAUAUAUAUAUAUAUAUAUACACAUACACACACACACACACUCAAAUUAAGCACUUUCACAAGUUCACAGUUCAUUGGAAACUUCAAUCAAGUGCUUUUUUGAACCCCCCAUGGUGAUUUUUGUUUGUGUUGGUAAAUUUGGUGUUAAUUUGUAUUGAAUGCAUGUGAAUAACUCAGGUUAUGUGAUAAUUUGCAUAGGUAGGUACGCAAUUAUGGAUUAGGUGUGUGUUUAUGUUUGUAUAUCAUGUAUAUGUGUUAGCUUGAUUGAGUUACAAAUAUUAAAUCACAAGCAUGCCAGUUGCUUGACAAAAUGUCACUAUGGGGUUUGUGUCAGUUUUGCUAUUGUUGUGACAUACAUAUAUAAUUCAGCUUUAUGUUUGAAUGUGUGCACAUUCAAGUAAAAGUUUUGUAUCUUUUUUUUGCUAGAUCAGUGGGUUACAGUAGAAAAAUGAUUAAUCAAAUUUGGAUCGAUUGCAAGAAGGUACCUGGAAAGGAACUUGGACUUAUUAUAGCUUCCAUUGUGUUUCUAAUGCCUUUUGGAUGAUCAAACAGAGGUGUAGAGCAUAUGGAUUUGUUUAAUUCUUUUUGAAGAAUCAAGAAGGUUUUAAUUUUUUUCCUUUGAAAGCAUGUGGGAGCAUCUAGUUUUCCUAGUUUGUGUUUGAGAUCCACAGGGAGUGUACAGGUGUUUAAGUGACAGGAACUAAAUUUAAAGAGUUACUUCUAGGCAUCAUGGCAAUAUAGAGUAAUGCAGAUAAUACCAAAUUACCCUCAUCUUAUCCCAGCAAACCCUAAACCCUAACCACUAUCCACCGUCGGUUGCCACCCCUCCUCUCUGGACGCCACCCCUCACUCCCGCUGCCCCACUACCAUUGUAGCCCCUACCACCACUGUUGUACCACCAUCACAACCCCCAUUGCCAUGACUUAUGCCGCAACCCCCUAUCCAUCAUGACCCCGUCACAAUCACAGAUUACUCUCUCUUUUUAUGGACUGCAAGUAGUGGGUCACCGAUAUGAGUGGGUUGCAAUGGUGGUGGUCUCCGGGUGAUGAGAAACGCAAUGGUGGUGGUCAUGGGGUGGUGGGUCGUUGGGGAUGGUCGUUGUGAUGGUGGUGGUUGCGACGUGGUGAAGGUAAAUAUGGGGCUGGAAGGUGGUGGUGGAGCGAUAGGGCGAGAAUGGAGGGGUUCACCAGCGGCUGGUAUGAUGGUGGCGGCGGUGGGUGUGUAUUGAGAAUUAGAUUUAGGGUUUUGUCCUAAAAGGUAAUUUACGUAAAGGACAUAAUGGUAAUAAGAAAAUAAGGGUUUGGGGUUUAGCCAUAAAUAUAUUGGAGCACAGGGACCUCCUCGUAAAUUCAAUGUAUUACACAUAGUAUGCAAAAAUCGAGCUUGAGAUUUUAGUUCAUUCUUAUCCAUAAGUCCUUAUCUUCUUCCCCUUUCAAUGUCGAAGCUUUGCUAACGAAUGAAAUCCACUUUCUUCCUUAAAAACGUUGCAACCUCAAACUUCAAUCCCAGUGGAGCUUAAAUGGCUAUGAAAAGUUCUUCCCAUAGAGUAUGCUAUAUAUAUAUAUAUAUAUUAUAUUUCUAUACACACUCAUGUACAUAUACACAAUCAAACUAAGCACUUUCACAUGUUCACAGCUCACCGAAAACUUCAAUCAAGUUCUUUUUCGAACUCCUCAUGGUGAUUUUUGUUUAUGUUUGUAAAUUGGUGUUAAUUUGUAUUGAUUGUAUGUGAAUAACUCAUGUUACGUGAUAAUUUGCAUAGGCAGGUAUGGAAUUAUGGAUUAGGCGUGUGUUUAUAUCCGUAUAGUACGUAUAUGUGUUGUUAUUGUUGUGACAUAAUUAUAUAAUUCAUCUAUAUGUGUGCACAUUUAGGUAAAAGGGUUGUAUCUUUCUUUCCUGAGGGAUCACUGGGUUAAAGUAGAAUGAUAAUUAAUCAAAUUUGGAUGGAUUGCAAGUAGGCAUCAGGAUAGGAACUUGGACUUUUUGUAGCUGCAGAUUCAACUUUGUUAUAACAUUCUAAGCUUCCAUUGUGUUUCUAAUGCCUUUUGGAUGAUCAAACAGAAGUGUGGAGUCACCAGUUUAAUGUAAUGAAUUAUCAGAACUUUUGGCAUAAUUAAGAUUUAAGUUUUCUCCAUACCUCUGAUUUUCUCUCUCUCUCUCUCUCGCUCUCUCUCUCUGCAGAAUCUAUCUCCCUUUCUUUUUUUCUUCUUUUUUAUUUAAGAUUUGAUUGUUGUUUUGAGUUAUUUUAGUGUGGCAGUCAUCGGAUUACGAUGCUAGAAAGAAGCUCACACCAUUGGGGUUUUUGGCAAAGGUAGCCAAGUUUGUGAAAGCCACUGUUAAGACACAAAUGGCUUCAUUUAAGGUUGGCUGCUUGAAUUUCUAGUAUCCGUAAUAAAACAUCAAAGUAAUCUUUAACAUAUGCCCUCUGUAGUCUUUGUAAAGUUAAUAAUUGUUCUUAGUGUACACUCAAUUUUCACCUAAAAAAUUCCUUUUUGCUUGCAAAUCAAUGCUAAGGUUAGUUUAGGGGAUGCUCGAAUACGAAGCAUAUAUGUUCAAUUUUUACAGCGAUUUGGAGUAUGGGGAGACUGGGAUCAUCCUUACCUGACUCUCGAUCUAGAUUAUGAGGCUGCUCAGGUACCUAGUACAGCUUUUUCAAAAGUUUAUUUUCUGGGGAUUCUCGACAUUAAAUUUAAGUUGAGAAGUUCCUAUGACAAUGUAGUCUUAUAAAUCUGUACGAUGAACCAUAACUCUCUGAGUUGUCAUUAAUUCUGGGAUUCUAUUAAUGUUUCUGAUUGUUAUCACUCUUUAGAAUAGUAGUCAUACCACACUUAAAGAGACACCACUAUAUAGUUACACGGAUGAAAGGGUGUUUCUAUCUUUCUCAUGCUGAUGUUAUAAUUUGUUGAGUUGCUUAGCUGUUUCUCUUCUGCACCCUUCCUUUACUGGAUUGAGGUGAUAGGUGAGAUGGCCUUUCAAGGGUAUAUCUAUACAAGCAAAAAACUAGUCCACUGGAGUCCCUCAUAGUGAGCUGAUCUUGCAAAGGCUGAGUUAGAGGUUAUAUAUUUUUAUUUGGAGAUGAAAAUGAUGUCAUCCAAUGUUAUAAAGUAAGUUUUUUUUGGGGUAAUAUUCCAAAAGAUAGGGGGUGUUUGGUG